rnacentral:rRNA from 1 species
UGGGGAAUAUUGCACAAUGGGCGCAAGCCUGAUGCAGCCAUGCCGCGUGUAUGAAGAAGGCCUUCGGGUUGUAAAGUACUUUCAGCGGGGAGGAAGGGAGUAAAGUUAAUACCUUUGCUCAUUGACGUUACCCGCAGAAGAAGCACCGGCUAACUCCGUGCCAGCAGCCGCGGUAAUACGGAGGGUGCAAGCGUUAAUCGGAAUUACUGGGCGUAAAGCGCACGCAGGCGGUUUGUUAAGUCAGAUGUGAAAUCCCCGGGCUCAACCUGGGAACUGCAUCUGAUACUGGCAAGCUUGAGUCUCGUAGAGGGGGGUAGAAUUCCAGGUGUAGCGGUGAAAUGCGUAGAGAGCUGGAGGAAUACCGGUGGCGAGGGCGGCCCCCUGGACGAAGACUGACGCUCAGGUGCGAAAGCGUGGGGAGCAAACAGG